rnacentral:rRNA from 1 species
CGGCGGACGGGUGAGUAAUGCGUGGAUAACCUACCUAUAAGACUGGGAUAACUUCGGGAAACCGGAGCUAAUACCGGAUAAUAUUUUGAACCGCAUGGUUCAAAAGUGAAAGACGGUCUUGCUGUCACUUAUAGAUGGAUCCGCGCUGCAUUAGCUAGUUGGUAAGGUAACGGCUUACCAAGGCAACGAUGCAUAGCCGACCUGAGAGGGUGAUCGGC